rnacentral:rRNA from 1 species
UACGUAGGGUGCGAGCGUUGUCCGGAAUUACUGGGCGUAAAGAGCUCGUAGGUGGUUUGUCGCGUUGUUCGUGAAAACCGGGGGCUUAACCCUCGGCGUGCGGGCGAUACGGGCAGACUUGAGUACUGCAGGGGAGACUGGAAUUCCUGGUGUGGCGGUGGAAUGCGCAGAUAUCAGGAGGAACACCGGUGGCGAAGGCGGGUCUCUGGGCAGUAACUGACGCUGAGGAGCGAAAGCGUGGGGAGCGAACAGG